rnacentral:rRNA from 1 species
GGGCCCGCACAAGCGGUGGAGCAUGUGGUUUAAUUCGAUGCAACGCGAAGAACCUUACCAGGUCUUGACAUCCUCGGAAUUUGGCAGAGAUGCCUUAGUGCCUUCGGGAGCCGAGUGACAGGUGCUGCAUGGCCGUCGUCAGCUCGUGUCGUGAGAUGUUGGGUUAAGUCCCGUAACGAGCGCAACCCUUGUCCUUAGUUGCCAGCACGUAAUGGUGGGAACUCUAGGGAGACUGCCGGUGACAAACCGGAGGAAGGUGGGGACGACGUCAGGUCAUCAUGGCCCUUACGACCUGGGCUACACACGUGCUACAAUGGCUGGUACAGAGGGUUGCGAAGUCGCGAGGCGAAGC